AACCCUUGUUAUUAGUUGCCAGCAUUAAGUUGGGCACUCUAAAGAGACUGCCGGUGACAAACCGGAGGAAGGUGGGGAUGACGUCAAGUCAUCAUGCCCCUUAUGACCUGGGCUACACACGUGCUACAAUGGGCAGUACAACGAGAAGCAAGCCUGCGAAGGCAAGCGAAUCUCUGAAAGCUGUUCUCAGUUCGGACUGCAGUCUGCAACUCGACUGCACGAAGCUGGAAUCGCUAGUAAUCGCGGAUCAGCACGCCGCGGUGAAUACGUUCCCGGGCCUUGUACACACCGCCCGUCACACCAUGGGAGUCUGCAAUGCCCAAAGCCGGUGGCCUAACCUUCGGGAAGGAGCCGUCUAAGGCAGGGCAGAUGACUGGGGUGAAGUCGUAACAAGUA
rnacentral:rRNA from 1 species